CAGUCGCCACGGUAAUACAGAGGGUGCGAGCGUUAAUCGGAUUUACUGGGCGUAAAGCGUGCGUAGGCGGCUUCUUAAGUCGGAUGUGAAAUCCCUGAGCUUAACUUAGGAAUUGCAUUCGAUACUGGGAAGCUAGAGUAUGGGAGAGGAUGGUAGAAUUCCAGGUGUAGCGGUGAAAUGCGUAGAGAUCUGGAGGAAUACCGAUGGCGAAGGCAGCCAUCUGGCCUAAUACUGACGCUGAGGUACGAAAGCAUGGGGAGCAAACAGGAUUAGAUACCCCAGUAGUCCCUGUCUAUUAUAC
rnacentral:rRNA from 1 species